rnacentral:tRNA from 1 species
AGGGACUUAGGAUAAUAUUAAACCAAGGGCCUUCAAAGCCCAAAAUAGAGGUGAAACCCCACUAGCCCCUG